CCACCACAUCCUGCAAACCCACCCCUCUCCUGUGCCAGGAACUUGUUAACACCAGUACCAUGCCCUACCAAUACCCUUUGCUGACCCCAGAGCAGAAGAAGGAGCUGUCUGACAUCACGCAUCACAUCGUGGCUCUGGGCAAGAGCAUCCCGGCUGCAGAUGAGUCCACUGGAAGAGUUGCCAAGUGGCUGCAGUCCAUUGGCACCAAGAAUACCAAGGAGAACCAGUGCUUCUACCGCCAGCUGCGACUGACAGCUGACAACUGCAUGAACCCCUGCAUCGAGGGCGUCAUCCUCUUCCAUGAGAUGCUGUACCAAAAGGUGGAUGAUAGGUGUCCCUUCCCCCAAGUUAUCAAAUCCAAAGGCAGUGUUGUGGGCAUCAAGGUAGAAAAGGGGGUGCUACCCCUGGCAAGGGCAAAUGGCGAGACUACCACCCAACGGCUGGAUGGGCUGUCUGAGCGCUGUGCCCCAGACAAGAAGGAUGGAACCCACUUUGCCAAGUGGCAUCACGUGCUGAAGAUUGGGAAGCACACCCCCUCAGCCCUCGCCAUCAUUGAAAAUGCCAACAUCAGCUGGGCGCAGCGGUGUGUCAAUGUCCUGGUCCGCUAUGCCAGCAUCUGCCAGCAGAAUGGCAUUGUGCUCAUCGUGGAGGCUGAGAUCCUCCCCAGUGGGGACCAUGACUUGAAGUACUGUCAGUAUGUAACCAAGAAGGUGUGGUUGCUGUCUACAAGGCUCUGAGUGACCACUACAUCUACCUGGAAGGCACCUUGCUGAAGUCCAGUAUGGUCACCCCGGGCCAAGCCUGCAUCCAGAAGUUUUCUCACAAGGAGAUUGCCAUGGCAACUGUCACAAUGCUACACUGCACAGUGUCCCCUGCUGUCCCUGGGAUCACUUCCUAUCUGGAAGCCAGAGCAAGGAGGUGUCCAUUAACCUCAAUGCCAUUAACAAGUGCCCCCUCCUGAAGCCCUGGGCCCUGACCUUCUCCUACGGCUGAACCCUGCAGGCCUCUGCCCUGAAGGCCUGGGGCAGGAAGAAGAACCUGAAGGCUGUGCAGAAGGAGUAUGUCAAGUGAGCCCUGGCCAAUAGCCUCACCUGUCAAGGAAAGUACAUUCCAAGUGGUCAGGCUGGGGCUGCUGUUAAUGAGUUCCUCUUCGUCUUUAACCACGCCUAG